rnacentral:lncRNA from 1 species
AGACACUGAAAGUGGAAAUAAGGAUUAAAAUGUAUUAUAGGAAGACGCCGAAUCACCCCGCUGCUGACAGGCAGGUCUGCCCAUGCCCUACCGAGGUCCCCAGUCGCACGGAACACACCGAAUCACCCUGCUGCAGACAGGCAGCCACCUGGUUCCACACUACAAAGACACAGAGGACACCAGACAACCAGACCAAGAAUGCCUGGUACAUACCACACAUUUGAUAAGUACUGCUGACUAAUUGACAGUCCAAUAGAACCACAUGAGAGGAUUAAAAAUGGUGGUAUAUACCAGCAGCAAAAUACAGCCUCUCCAGGACCUGGAAUCAAGACAUCUGGAAAACAACAACUUGGCAAAGAGAAAAAAAAAGAAGUAGAUUUCUGGAAAUUGGGAGGGAGUUGUCAGGAAGCUACUAGAAGCUGGAGAAACAGAGCACAAUGACAAGAAAAGAACAAAGCAGUUUGGAAAGCUCAUCCCAGCUCCUGUGGAGAGGCACCUGUCUCCACUGACACCAG